AUGGCCCUAAAGCUUUAAUCCUGUUCUCAACUACAACAUUUUAAACUGACUUCAGAGUAGCUAUUUUGGAUUUAAAUUAGUGCAAGUGAGAUUAACAUCGGAGCCAGAGGCAGUUCACACUCUGUGCAGGUCUGAAUGGCAGAAAGGCAGGGGCUGAGGCACAAGUGUAACUAUGAGGGAAGUGACCUUCAGCUUCAUCUUUGCUGCACCUCCAGUGGUAAUAAGCAUGUCAAAGAAAAAAUGAAGAUAAUUCCACUUUCCCCAGGAACUUAGUCUGCCCAUUAAUUGAGUUGCAUUUCUUUAAGCUCAUGGUUUACUUCUGGGAAAGAAAUCUCUAAUUCAGCAUAGCAGUUGCCCUGUUCAGCUUGGAAGUCAGUGGUUCAUGAAGACCGUGCCUGUCUAGCCAGUCGGGUUUUGGGAUUCUCAUGCUGGGACACAUGUCGGACUCUGCAGAUGGCAUAGAGCUAAUGUAUGCUGCAGAUUCACACCCGGUAGCAGUUGCUUCUGAAACCACUGCCUCUUAGCUCCCUAUACCACAAAUAAAAUUACUUAUUCUGCACAAGCAAAAAACUUUCUGCUUGGUUUCUUGUUGGAAACAGAAAUCUUCCCUUUAUCUAGCAAAGAAAAGGCGCACCUUUGUGUUCAUUCCAUGUGUGUGAAGAGCCUUCUCAAGUGUAUAUAAUUCACCCAGCAUCUCUUCAGGCAUCAGUCUCUCAUCCUACUGAGAAAGGAAUGUUACAAAGCCAUCUGUAAGAGGAGCAGAAUUACAUGAACCCGAAUAAACGACUGCCUUAACUACUCCAAAACCCACAAUCAGGGUACCUGAUAAUCAUUCAGAAAAGAAGCAGACUUGUGAUCCCAGCUUUUUUAACUGACACCAUCUGCCUCUUAGUCUCUUUCUCCUGCUGACACCAACAGGUUUUCACCUUCUGGUUCACGAACACCUUGCCAGAAUAAUUUCCAUCCCUGGCUGGAACCAGGCUGCCUUUUUCCUCACUCUGUCGUGCCUCAGGCAGAGCUUUCCCAGGAGCAGUGCUGGAAGACAGGAGGUCCUCCUCUGUCCUGGAGUGGCUGUGAACAUCUCUGGCACUGCUGUGUCAUGCACCUUUGUUUCUGGAGAGCAGAGUGGAAGGGUGGGUGAAGCAGGAAUGUGGAUCUGCCCACUGCUCAUAAGUACCUACCUGCAGACUUAGCACCAGCGAGGCACCUCCCCUCACACAGGGGAGCAGUGGGAAACCUGGCUCUUAAUAAAAGAAGGCUUUCAAAAGGCUGGCAGAGUGAACAAUGUCAGGCUUGAAACUUAAACGUUGCACUGGUUAUUUGGUGUUCCUACGGUGAAAGACCACAUUCCACAUACAAGAUGUAAAAGAUUAUUUUUCUUCAAAUUUGGGCACAUCUGUGGCCAUCAUAUUUCACUGAUAAGAGCCAGGCAAAAGGAAAACAGAUUGUCUCACACAGUGCUGUCUCGGUGUACCUUCUCCUUCUAUGUACCAGUUAUCUGAACCUGUCCUCUGUUGUCUCAUGAGCUGUUGAUGAUUACAUCUAAUACAUUAUCUUUUAAACCCAGCAUGAAGCUAAUUACUGCCACCUAUAUCUCCAGGCACCUUGACUGCAGCUCUGAUUAUUCUUAGCUUUAUAUCAAGAAACCCCACUGACCCCUUACUGUAUGAAUUCCUCAUUUAUAGAUUUUUCUGUGCUGUGCAUGUAUUUCAGGCACAUCUUUACAGAAGGAAAUGCAGUCAAGGCCAGUUGUUUGCUGUAAGCAGAAACCUCCAUUUCUUGCUUUCCCUAAAUGCUUUCUAAUAAAAUUUGUGUUGGAACAUUGUUCUAAGAGCAUCCCUAUAAGGAAUAAUUCCAGUGACCUCAGCAAAUUACCUGUGAAUGAAUCUCACAUCAGCAAGGAAAGGGCAUUUUCUGCCUCUUUUUGGAGGUUUAGUUUUGCUGCCAGGGAGAAGGCUUUGACCUUCCCCUUUUGGGUACCAUACUUAUUAUUUGUUCAGCAUUCCUUCACAAAACUUCAGAAGUGCAAAAUAUGCCUUUCUUCACAUAGUGAUGACAAGCUGUCAGUAAUGAAGGGCACGUUGUUCUGCCCUACAGUCCCAUGGAGGACGGUGCACCCACACCAUGGCAGUUUAGGGAUUAGGGGAACACCGGAGUUCUUUGCUUGAAUUUAUAAAGUUUGGCAGGGACAGUUCUCCAGGACUUCCUUGAAAGAGUGAAAAAAUAAAAUACUCUUUAAACCAGAAACCCUCUCUUUGUCCUUGUUUCUCUAAUUAGACUAGGGGCAGUCCUUAAUGCCAUGAGCCUCAGGUGAAGACAAGCAAAAUGCAAGUUUGUGUGAACUGAGGUCAAAUGUAAUAGAAGAUGUUUUGACUGGAUUGGCUUACAAUGUAUCAGUAAGGAUGAUAUUUUCAAGUUGUGGGGUCUGGUGUACUUCACCCUACACCAUUUAAGAUCCUGUCUAAUUGUAUUUGCAUUAACCAC
ensembl:lncRNA